rnacentral:rRNA from 1 species
UUGUAAGGGAAUAAAGGCCGGUACGUGUUACCGGUUUGCAGGUACCUUACGAAUAAGGAUCGGCUAACUCCGUGCCAGCAGCCGCGGUAAUACGGAGGAUCCGAGCGUUAUCCGGAUUUAUUGGGUUUAAAGGGUGCGCAGGCGGGAGAUUAGGUCGGCGGUGAAAUGUCGGGGCUCAACCUUGAAAGUGCCGUCGAAACCGGUUUUCUUGAGUGCGGAUGAAGUAGGCGGAAUUUGUGGUGUAGCGGUGAAAUGCGUAGAUAUCACAAGGAACACCGAUUGCGGAGGCAGCUUACUAAACCGCAACUGACGCUCAUGCACGAAGGCGUGGGGAUCAAACAGGAUUAGAUACCCUGGUAGUCCACGCAGUAAACGAUGAUUACUGGCUGUUUGCGAUACAAUGUAAGCGGCUGAGCGAAAGCGUUAAGUAAUCCACCUGGGGAGUACGUUCGCAAGAAUGAAACUCAAAGGAAUUGACGGGGGCCCGCACAAGCGGAGGAACAUGUGGUUUAAUUCGAUGAUACGCGAGGAACCUUACCCGGGCUUGAAAUGCAUCUGACGGGGCCGGAAACGGUCUUUCCCAGCGAUGGGCAGAUGUGUAGGUGCUGCAUGGUUGUCGUCAGCUCGUGCCGUGAGGUGUCGGCUUAAGUGCCAUAACGAGCGCAACCCUCAUCGUCAGUUACCAUCGGGUAAAGCCGGGGACUCUGACGAGACUGCCAUCGUAAGAUGCGAGGAAGGUGGGGAUGACGUCAAAUCAGCACGUCCCUUAUGUCCGGGGCGACACACGUGUUACAAUGGGCGGUACAGCGGGGCGCUACCCGGCGACGGGGAGCCGAUCCCGAAAGCCGCUCACAGUUCGGAUCGGAGUCUGCAACUCGACUCCGUGAAGGCGGAUUCGCUAGUAAUCGCGCAUCAGCCACGGCGCGGUGAAUACGUUCCCGGGUCUUGUACACACCG